GACGAAGGAUGCAAGCGUUAUCCGGAUUCAUUGGGUUUAAAGGGAGCGUAGGUGGCCUUAUAAGUCAGUGGUGAAAUCUCUGGGCUUAACCCAGAAAUUGCCAUUGAUACUGUAGGGCUUGAGUACAGUUGCUGUGGGCGGAAUAUGACAUGUAGCGGUGAAAUGCUUAGAUAUGACAUAGAACACCUAUUGCGAAGGCAGCUAACUACGCGAAUAUUGACGCUGAGGCACGAAAGCGUGGGGAUCAAACAGG
rnacentral:rRNA from 1 species